rnacentral:rRNA from 1 species
AACGAACGCUGGCGGCAUGCCUAACACAUGCAAGUCGAACGGGAUCCGGACUUCGGUCCGGUGAGAGUGGCGGACGGGUGAGUAACACGUGGGAACCUGCCUUUUGGUUCGGGAUAACCGCGGGAAACUGCGGCUAAUACCGGAUGCUCCCGAGAGGGAAAAGAUUUAUCGCCAGAAGAGGGGCCCGCGUCCGGUUAGGUAGUUGGUGGGGUAAUGGCCUACCAAGCCGACGAUCGGUAGCUGGUCUGAGAGGAUGAUCAGCCACACUGGGACUGAGAUACGGCCCAGACUCCUACGGGAGGCAGCAGUGGGGAAUAUUGGACAAUGGGGGCAACCCUGAUCCAGCAAUGCCGCGUGAGUGAUGAAGGCCUUAGGGUUGUAAAGCUCUUUUGCCAGGGAAGAUGAUGACUGUACCUGGAGAAUAAGCCCCGGCUAACUUCGUGCCAGCAGCCGCGGUAAU